UACGUAGGUGGCAAGCGUUGUCCGGAAUUAUUGGGCGUAAAGCGCGCGCAGGCGGUCCUUUAAGUCUGAUGUGAAAGCCCACGGCUCAACCGUGGAGGGUCAUUGGAAACUGGGGGACUUGAGUGCAGGAGAGAAGAGUGGAAUUCCACGUGUAGCGGUGAAAUGCGUAGAGAUGUGGAGGAACACCCGUGGCGAAGGCGGCUCUCUGGAACGCAACUGACGCUGAGACGCGAAAGCGUGGGGAGCAAACAGG
rnacentral:rRNA from 1 species